rnacentral:rRNA from 1 species
UACGGGGGGGGUAAGCGUUGUUCGGAAUUACUGGGCGUAAAGGGCGCGUAGGCGGCCUUCUAAGUCGAACGUGAAAUCCCCAGGCUUAACCUGGGAACUGCGUGUGAUACUGGAUGGCUUGAAUUCGGGAGAGGGAUGCAGAAUUCCAGGUGUAGCGGUGAAAUGCGUAGAUAUCUGGAGGAAUACCGGUGGCGAAGGCGGCAUCCUGGACCGACAUUGACGCUGAGGAGCGAAAGCUAGGGGAGCAAACGGG